AACGAACGCUGGCGGCAUGCCUAACACAUGCAAGUCGAACGGGAUCCGAGCUUCGGUUCGGUGAGAGUGGCGGACGGGUGAGUAACGCGUGGGAACCUGCCCAGUGGUGGGGGAUAACUGCGGGAAACUGCAGCUAAUACCGCAUGAGCCCGAGAGGGGAAAGAUUUAUCGCCAUUGGAGGGCCCGCGUUCGAUUAGGUAGUUGGUGAGGUAACGGCUCACCAAGCCUUCGAUCGAUAGCUGGUCUGAGAGGAUGAUCAGCCACACUGGGACUGAGAUACGGCCCAGACUCCUACGGGAGGCAGCAGUGGGGGAAUAUUGGACAAUGGGGGCGAACCCUGAUCCAGCAAUGCCGCGUGAGUGAUGAAGGCC
rnacentral:rRNA from 1 species